rnacentral:rRNA from 1 species
GAUGAACGCUGGCGGCGUGCCUAAUACAUGCAAGUCGAGCGAACAGAUAAGGAGCUUGCUCCUUUGACGUUAGCGGCGGACGGGUGAGUAACACGUGGGUAACCUACCUAUAAGACUGGGAUAACUUCGGGAAACCGGAGCUAAUACCGGAUAACAUUUUGAACCGCAUGGUUCUAAAGUGAAAGAUGGUUUUGCUAUCACUUAUAGAUGGACCCGCGCCGUAUUAGCUAGUUGGUAAGGUAACGGCUUACCAAGGCAACGAUACGUAGCCGACCUGAGAGGGUGAUCGGCCACACUGGAACUGAGACACGGUCCAGACUCCUACGGGAGGCAGCAGUAGGGAAUCUUCCGCAAUGGGCGAAAGCCUGACGGAGCAACGCCGCGUGAGUGAUGAAGGGUUUCGGAUCGUAAAACUCUGUUAUUAGGGAAGAACAAACGUGUAAGUAACUGUGCACGUCUUGACGGUACCUAAUCAGAAAGCCACGGCUAACUACGUG